ACAGCGGAGGGAUCAUUACCGAGUUUACAACUCCCAAACCCCUGUGAACAUACCUAUACGUUGCCUCGGCGGAUCAGCCCGCGCCCCGUAAAAAGGGACGGCCCGCCCGAGGACCCCUAAACUCUGUUUUUAGUGGAACUUCUGAGUAAAACAAACAAAUAAAUCAAAACUUUCAACAACGGAUCUCUUGGUUCUGGCAUCGAUGAAGAACGCAGCAAAAUGCGAUAAGUAAUGUGAAUUGCAGAAUUCAGUGAAUCAUCGAAUCUUUGAACGCACAUUGCGCCCGCCAGUAUUCUGGCGGGCAUGCCUGUUCGAGCGUCAUUUCAACCCUCAAGCUCAGCUUGGUGUUGGGACUCGCGGUAACCCGCGUUCCCCAAAUCGAUUGGCGGUCACGUCGAGCUUCCAUAGCGUAGUAAUCAUACACCUCGUUACUGGUAAUCGUCGCGGCCACGCCGUAAAACCCCAACUUCUGAAUGUUGACCUCGGAUCAGGUAGGAAUACCCGCUGAACUUAAGCAUAUCAAUA
rnacentral:rRNA from 1 species